rnacentral:rRNA from 1 species
AGUGAACGCUGGCGGUAGGCCUAACACAUGCAAGUCGAACGGCAGCACAGUAAGAGCUUGCUCUUACGGGUGGCGAGUGGCGGACGGGUGAGGAAUACAUCGGAAUCUACUUUUUCGUGGGGGUUAACGUAGGGAAACUUACGCUAAUACCGCAUACGACCUACGGGUGAAAGCAGGGGAUCUUCGGACCUUGCGCGAUUGAAUGAGCCGAUGUCGGAUUAGCUAGUUGGCGGGGUAAAGGCCCAUCAAGGCGACGAUCCGUAGCUGGUCUGAGAGGAUGAUCAGCCACACUGGAACUGAGACACGGUCCAGACUCCUGCGGGAGGCAGCAGUGGGGAAUAUUGGACAAUGGGCGCAAGCCUGAUCCAGCCAUACCGCGUGGGUGAAGAAGGCCUUCGGGUUGUAAAGCCCUUUUGUUGGGAAAGAAAAGCAGCAGGUUGAUACCCCGCUGUUCUGACGGUACCCAAAGAAUAAGCACCGGCUAACUUCGUG